rnacentral:rRNA from 1 species
UACGGAGGAUCCAAGCGUUAUCCGGAAUCAUUGGGCUUAAAGGGUCCGUAGGCGGUUUUGUAAGUCAGUGGUGAAAGCCCAUCGCUCAACGGUGGAACGGCCAUUGAUACUGCAAGACUUGAAUUAUGAGGAAGUAACUAGAAUAUGUAGUGUAGCGGUGAAAUGCUUAGAGAUUACAUGGAAUACCAAUUGCGAAGGCAGGUUACUAGUAAGAUAUUGACGCUGAUGGACGAAAGCGUGGGGAGCGAACAGG